ensembl:snRNA U5 U5 spliceosomal RNA
AUUCUCUGGUUUCUCUUCAUAACAAAUAAGUCUUGCUUUUUACUAAAGAGUUCCAUGGAGAGGAACAAUUAUGAGUUUAUAACUGAAUUUUUUGAUGUCCUGCUUAGUCAGGGCU